rnacentral:tRNA from 1 species
GGCAGUGUUGUUUGAACAUUGGACUAUGAUUCCAAAGACUAGGUUUUGAAUCCCUACUCAGCCA